GAUGAAGAACCGCAGUGAAAUGCGAUACGUAAUGUGAAUUGCAGAAUUCAGUGAAUCAUCGAGUCUUUGAACGCACAUUGCGCCCUCUGGUAUUCCGGAGGGCAUGCCUGUCCGAGCGUCAUUGCUGCCCUCAAGCACGGCUUGUGUGUUGGGCUCCGUCCCCCGAUCCCGGGGGACGGGCCCGAAAGGCAGCGGCGGCACCGCGUCCGGUCCUCGAGCGUAUGGGGCUUUGUCACCCGCUCUGUAGGCCCGGCCGGCGCUUGCCGAUCAACCAAAUUUUUAUCCAGGUUGACCUCGGAUCAGGUAGGGAUACCCGCUGAACUUAAGCAUAUCAAUAAGCGGAGGA
rnacentral:misc_RNA from 1 species